rnacentral:lncRNA from 10 species
GGGACAGAGCCUGGCUUUGUGCGGGAGGCAGACGCGCCCCGCGCGCCGCCCCCGAAACAUUCGCACCCCAUGCUGAGGCGCGCGUCUGGGAGUCCGUGGGCGCCCCGAGCGACGUCGAUGGCGCCAGGUGCCAAGCUCUUUCCUUGUAUAAUUUCAUGGACACUCACGCAUCAACUCUAAGCGAAGACUUGGAGCGGGGCUCAGCACCCCAGGGGUACCUCUGCAACCUCGAAAUGAAGUUGAAAAUAGCACAGGAGCCCACUAUCACUGUGUGAACAUUUUGUGAAUGAAGACAUGUAUGAAAGGAUGUUUGGAGGCUUCAAGAAACGAAAGCCGAGAGUCUAGCUAGACCAGAGCCAUCCAGCCCAGGAGCGAUGGCCACGUGUGGCCGCUGGACACGAGAGACGUGGCCAGUCCAAACUGUGCAGUGCGGGGCAGUGGAAGCCGUUGGAGGGCCUCAGGCAGGAACACAAGGUGUCGUGGCAGAAAGGAAGAAGGGGCCGGGCACGGUGGCCCACACCCGUCAUCCCAGCACUUUGGGAGGGAGGCCAAGGCAGGAGGAUCGCUUCAAUCCAGGAGUUCAAGAUCAGCCUGGGCAACACAGCAAGACCCCGUCUCUACUAAAACCCUAAAACUUAGCCAGGCUUGGUGGCAUGUGCCUAAGGUCCCAGGUCCUCGGGAGACUAAGGCAGGAGGAUUGCUUAAGCCCAAGAGUUUGAGGCUGCAGUGAACUAUUAUCACACCACUGCACUCAGCCUGGGUGACAGAGUGACUCUGUCUCAAAACUAAAUAAAUAAACAAUAAUUGUGUUA